rnacentral:misc_RNA from 3 species
CAACCCUCGAACCCCUCCGGGGGAUCGGCGUUGGGGAUCGGGACCCCUCACCGGGUGCCGGCCCUGAAAUACAGUGGCGGUCUCGCCGCAGCCUCUCCUGCGCAGUAGUUUGCACAACUCGCACCGGGAGCGCGGCGCGUCCACGUCCGUAAAACACCCAACUUCUGAAA